UACGAAGGGGGCGAGCGUUGUUCGGAUUUACUGGGCGUAAAGGGCGCGCAGGCGGUCUUGAAAGUCAGGCGUGAAAGCCCCGGGCUUAACCUGGGAAUUGCGCUUGAUACUCUGAGACUGGAGUACGGGAGAGGAGAGUGGAAUUCCCAGUGUAGAGGUGAAAUUCGUAGAUAUUGGGAAGAACACCCGUGGCGAAGGCGGCUCUCUGGAACGCAACUGACGCUGAGACGCGAAAGCGUGGGGAGCAAACAGG
rnacentral:rRNA from 1 species